CGGUGNUAAAAAAAAAACGUUCCCGGACCUUGCACACACCGCCCGUCAAGCCAUGGAAGCCGGGUGUACCUAAAGUCGGUAACCGUAAGGAGCUGCCUAGGGUAAAACUGGUGACUGGGGCU
rnacentral:rRNA from 1 species